AACGGCCAUACCAUGCUGAAUAUACCGGUUCUCGUUAGAUCACCGAAGUUAAGCAUCAUUGGGCGCGGUCAGUACUUGGGUGGGUGACCACCUGGGAACAA
rnacentral:rRNA from 1 species